rnacentral:rRNA from 2 species
GAGACCUCAGGUCAGGCGGGGCUACCCGCUGAGUU